AUGGUGGUGCAUGAUUUCUAUGAUUUGAGUGAAUGGAUUACAUGUCCUCCUUGAAGGAUAACUAUGUGAAUGUGAUAAGAGAAGAAUGGAUAGAAGAGAUAAAGAAGAAAUUGACAGCUUCACUGAUGCAGUCUACCAAAAUUUUCUCAGGUUUUGUUUGUUGUCUGAACUCUCAACAUUUCUGCUAUUUCUCUUCCAACCAAACAUAUUAUACACAGUUUCUGCAAGAAAGGCAUCUUCUUUUGCCUCAUGUAUGGUCCUGUCAUCUUGCAACUGAAGAACAAGUGAUUUUUAUUGUUAUUUUAUAAAAGUUUUACCAGUAAUAUAUGAACUAGAUGAUUAAUAAUAUCAGAAAAAAAAUUUUCAAUCACAUUCCUGAGUGAGUUGUGAUCAUGUAUUAGAUUAGAGCUAAAAAGGAUGCCUUCACAUCAGACCAACCAAUUUGCCUGAUCAAAUAACAUGAGCUUACUGAUCUAUUUGAAGUUUUAGCAGACAUUGUUUGUGGUGUGUGGUCAUAUGAUUUAGUAAAUUGCUAGAUUUGACAAUGUUUAAUUAUCUGUAUUCUGCUUCACCUCAUAUUUAGAUGGCAUAAUCUACCAAUUUUCCUGAUCAAAUAACAUGAGCUUACUGAUCUAUUUGAAGUUUUAGCAGACAUUGUUUGUUGUGUGUGGUCAUAUGAUAUAGUAAAUUGCUAGAUUUGACAAUGUUUAAUUAUCUGUAUUCUGCUUCACCUCAUAUUUAGAUGGCAUAAUCUACCAAUUUUCCUGAUCAAAUAACAUGAGCUUACUGAUCUAUUUGAAGUUUUAGCAGACAUUAUUUGUGGUGUGUGGUCAUAUGAUCUAGUAAAUUGCUAGAUUUGACAAUGUUUAAUUAUCUGUAUUCUACUUCACCUCAUAUUUAGAUGGCAUAAUCUACUUAAACACAUGUAAGUUGAACUAAAUAUAGCAGCUAUGCCUUCUCCCAAUACAGAUUCAAAGAAACAAAGCCAGAGAAGAUGACAAACUAGCAUUGGAAAGAUUUCUAGAUGAAGACUCAAGUGAAGGAUGGAAGAAGAU
rnacentral:lncRNA from 1 species